rnacentral:rRNA from 1 species
UAAGAGGUCCCGCCUGCCCUGUGACUAAAUGUUUAACGGCCGCGGUAUUUUAACCGUGCAAAGGUAGCGCAAUCACUUGUCUCUUAAAUGGAGACCUGUAUGAAUGGCAUAACGAGGGCUAAGCUGUCUCCUCUUUCAAGUCAAUGAAAUUGAUUUCCCCGUGCAGAAGCGGGGAUACCCACAUAAGACGAGAAGACCCUAUGGAGCUUUAGACACAAGGUAAAUUAUGUUAAUACCCCUCCACAUAAGAGGAUUAAACCAAAUAACCCUUACCUCUAUGUCUUUGGUUGGGGCGACCGCGGGGAAAUAAAAAACCCCCACGUGGAAAGGGAACACCCUUCCUACAAGUAAGAGCUCCCGCUCUAACAAACAAAAUUUUUGACCAAUAAGAUCCGGCAACGCCGAUCAACGGACCGAGUUACCCUAGGGAUAACAGCGCAAUCCCCUUUUAGAGCCCAUAUCGACAAGGGGGUUUACGACCUCGAUGUUGGAUCAGGACAUCCUAAUGGUGCAGCCGCUAUUAAGGGUUCGUU